CACCUGAGUCCUCCUGACAUAUCUACUAGUUUUCCACAGUCAGUCCCCAGUGCUCCACCCCCACUCCUGCCCCUGCAGAUCAGCACACAGGUGCGUUGUGGUAGCGUUAGAAACAAACCAAUGUAUAAACCAGACUUCAAUAAAACAUCCUUUAAAACUUGAGAUCGCUUGGGUUCAGUAUUACUAAAGGGCCUGUGUGAAUGCUGUCUCUGUCGACUGGUUGUCUUUGUUCGUUUUUUUAUCAUUUUCCCCUUUUCUUUCCCAGUUUCCCUCACCAUAUCCAGUUGCACAAACAGGGGCCCACCAGCCCCCUCCAUUCUCUCCAGCUCCUCUGCCAUCUGCCUUUAGCAGCAGUGGUCCUCUCAUGUCUAGCUCCUACUAUUUACCGUCCCCCCACCGUCCCACUCUCCCUCUGACCCCUCAUUGUGCCCUGCCUUCCAUACCCACUCUUGGUACCCCUCAAACUCCUCUGUCCACACCUCAACACGUGCCUAAUGUGGCGCUCUCUAUUCCACUUCUUGCCAUGGCCAUGUCACCUGCUGUGCCCCAGCAACAGGUCUGUCCUCCAGCAUCUCAGCCAAACCUUGGUGGCAUCCAUUCCACCCAUUCCUUGCCUUUCUCCCAGGUACAACCCACCCCAUACCCUGCCCCUCACCCUGAGCAGGAACUGGCUGAGCAGCCUGUCCAGAUGCAGACGAUUGCUCCACAGGGGAAUUUGGGAGAUGUUCAGCUUUUGGCUCACGUCCACCAUGUCUUACCGUCUGUUCACACCCCUCUCUGGGGAAAUGGAGCAGAUGCAGAAACACCUGCAGUUGGCCUAAAAUUAAGUGUAGCUCCUGUAAUUCCAAAUGCUGAUGCUGGCCCUGGCCCUGGCCCUGGCCCUGCCCCUGCUCCUGCCCCUGCCCCUACCCCUGCCCCUGCCCCUGCCCCUGCCCCUGCCCCUGCCCCUGCCCUUGCCCCUGCCUCAGCCCCUCCCCAUGCCCCUGCCUCAGCCCCUCCCCAGGCUCCUGCAUCAGUAUCAACAACAGUCCAAGUUGAAACUCAAGCCCCAGCACAAACUCCAGCUCUAGGCCCAGCACAAAACCAAACCCAAGUUCCAGCUCAACCUGCAGCCAUGCCUCAAACUCAACCUUCAGCUUCAACCCUGGUGAAUGCCUCUGCUUCAGUCCCAGUUCAAGUUCCAGCCCCUUCUGCCCCAGCUCAAGCAACACCUUUUCAAGCAGGUCCCACAUUAGAACCACCACAAGUCUCAUCUACAAAUUCACAUUUAUCUUCGACCACUGGUAAACUCCAACAACCAGUCCCUGUUUCGCUGCCGACACAAGCUCAAUCUGCAGCUCCUGCUAUUGUUCCAGCUCCUGUCGCAGUUUCAGUCCCAGCUCCUGUUCUGCAGGCUGCUGGCAUCCAUACCGCAGUAUCAUUGCCUGAAUGUGCCAGCUUGGCCACCACUCAGCAAAACCUAGACACUGCAUCCAGCACCUACCAACAAGAGCUCUAUACAGAGGUAGGUAUAUGGCCACAGUUCAGGCAUGUCUGAGUCCUAUAUUUAUGCUCUUUCUUCAAAAAUUGGAUUUGCUGAUUG
ensembl:lncRNA